GUGGGCGUCACCAAGAGCGCUUAAGAGAAAGUCUGUGUGUGGACCUGUGACUCUACAUGAAUGACUCAAGUGAAGAAACACGAGUGAAACCACUAUUUCAAAGGAAAAAGAAGAGGAAGAGGGGACAUCUUGAACAUUCGCAGUGGAACUUGAGUGCGCAUCUGCGCAAAGUCUCUCCAAAGUCACUUGGUAACUUGCGCGCACCACUGCAGCUCCAUUCUCAAGCAGUUUUGGGGCAUAGACACGACAAUCUUCUCCCGUGAUGGACUGAAAACUGCCGAGGGCUCCCGAAUUUUAGAUUGUGAAAACAAAAUGAUGACAUAACAGAAGAUAAGAGCAGACUGUCGCUUCUGAAAGCCGAGAUGCGGUAAAAGAAGUAUUGUAAAUUGCAUACGGCUGAGACAUGAAACUCAAGCUGACUUCCACAUUGUAGUUUAUUUGAAGGCGCCCCGAUGGCACAAUUGUUCUGCUUUGAGCGAGGAAAUUGAGCAAGGCCACUCAUUUAAGCAGUGACAAGGAAAUACGUAAUGGGCUCAUACAAUGCCCCGAAAAAUGCACUGUACGUGAAUUUUGUUGCCAAAUUACAUGACUAAUAACCCUGUGAACCUGCUUAUUUUUAGAUUAACUUAUUUUUACAAUUACAGCAUGGAAAUGUGUCACUCAAUAACCAUGCAUGUCAUUUAAACUAGAUGAAGCUUUUAUUUAAUAUUAUUUAACAUACCUCGUUUUUUUUUUUUUUUAAGUUGCUUUAGAUAAAAAUGUAUGUUGAUAAAUGUAAAGGAUAAAUAAUUGCAUCGCUGAUCCAAGACGGUCAAACAUGCAGUGUACUGCAAAAUUCAACACAUGACCUUGUAAUCACAACCAUGCUAAGUAACACAUGAAUUAACCGGCCUUCCGGGCUUUUAAGAAUGUGAAUUCUUCAGUUCAAUAACCAUCUGUCCGCUUACAUCUGAGUUGGUCUGUUUGCUAUUCAUGAUUUUUUUUUAUUCCCUCAUUGGAAACUGUCGGGAAGCGCUGCCUAUUUCACUGUGACCUUUAACCUUUUAUUUGUCUCUUUGAAGAACAGCUGCACUAGUCUUACUACACGCAACGUGGGACUAUUUCUGCAGCUCUGGAAAAGCAAAAACUGUUGCCUUUUGUGCAGAAUGGAACAAACGGUUCUUUGUGUUUGCAUUCAUGAGCUACAGUAUUGGCUUUUUUUUUUUCCGUACACCGUCUGUGCAGGAUUCCAGAACAGAUUAUCAGUGAUUGUCAAAGAUAAAAUGCAUUUUCUGAUAGUGCAUUUUAAGCUCAUUUGAUAUUAAAAACAGUUUGCUGAGAGAUAAUAGGGGAGAGAGCUGUGUUUGUGUGCGCGUGGGUUGGUUUCAGCACAGAUGGCACCAGCCAAAAGCAUAGGAUGUUUAAAUGUCAGGCUAAAAUACCAUAUCCUCCACAAAAUAUAGUACAGUCCCGGCCUAAUUAAAUUGACUCUUUUUUUUCUUUCUCUCUCUCUUUCUCUCUUUUUUUUAGUGAAAACCACAACUUUUCAGUUUUGUUUUUCGGGCGUAAUUUGGUUUUAUCUUUAAGCUCAUCAUCUUUGUGUUAAGACAAACAUUCCAGGAACCUCCACUGAACAUCACCAGCGUUAUUUAGAAAGCCUCUCGCUCUGGGCUUUAUGUUGGGUUUUGUUGCAUGCGUCAAUCGCUUCUUCGUAGCUAUCACUUUACGGGCCGUUCUCCGCUAGUAUUGUUUUUGUAUUGUGCACACAUUUGUAAUGCAGAUCGGAUUGCACUAGUAAUGCUUAUCCCAAGUUUAAUAGCAUUAAUUGAUAUUCCAGAUGCAUUGGGGUUGCUUUUAAUGCAUGCGCUUUCAGUACAGAAAUGCAUAUUUUAAUGAAUCCAUCAAUCAUAUUUAAACCUUUUAGUAACCAGUAGAUGAUAUUCUGGGAUUAAGUGAUGUUAAUGUAGCUUUUUAUACUUUAAUUGUGCGAUUUAAGUAUCUCCGCAAGAUAUUUCACGUGGUGAACAGAAACAGAAAAAAUAUCACUGGUAAACCGUAAGAUUAAGAUUGCUUCCUUUGACCUUUAUUACUGCAGAGAGACCAUUUUAAGUCAUUUUCAGGUGAGAUCUGGCUGUUGGCUCGACAUUAAAAACUAAUCUCUGAAUCUCUGAUCCAAAACAACAAGGCAAAGCCACAACAUUGUGUAUAAAUGCAUUCAGUGAGAUUUUAAAUUUCAUCUGCUUACAUUGAGAUCUAAAUGUUACAUUUCAAAAUCCACCUUAGUGGUUUAAUGUGUAUUGUUUUGUGUGUGUGUGUGUGUGUGUGUGUGUGUGUGUGUGUGUGUGUGUGUGUGUGUGUACUCCCACCUGUGGUUCUGUGUGCUGCUUUACUCAGACAGUAGGAGGGCUGCAGACAUUUUAACAGCAGUCUCAUAAACGCUCCUGCAUGAAGCAAAAAGAGCAAAAAAUACCCAGCUGCACACGGUGGACAUUUUAGUGCUUUCUGAAAUGUUGUUAAAAUUGUUACCUCUUGUUUUUGAUGUUCAUUCAAAUUACUUCUUGAGACUUCACUCUGCAUUUGCCAAAGGAAAUGAGCAAGUGGCAUGCCAUCAAAGUUUCCAUGUUUACAUAAACGUCUUGCCUUCACCUAAUGACCUUUAUGCUAUUAAAUAAAUCACUUAUAAAUGCAAAAAAAGUUCUUUAUGGAUAUUUGAACUGCUUUUGGUUAUAUUAUUGAUUAUUAUGGUUGAGCUCCUCUGACAUUUUUCUCAUGCAUCUUUUAGUUGUCCUUUUAGACAAGUCAGUGUUGACUAAUAGAAGAAUGAUAAGGAAUUUAAUUAUAUACUUUUAAAAAUAUGUGGGUAAGAGUGGAUGAGCUGUGUUGAAGGCUGGUCUUGUGUUGACUGUGAAGUUUCAGUAUUAUUGUCAGCGUGUGUAGGUGUAACUUGUUAUCAGCAGUCAAAAACAACGUAUGAUUUUACUCAAACUAUUAGUUUUGGAGUUGUCAUCAUCUGCGUUGCUCAUAACGCUGGGGCUACGGCGAAUUUUUUGCGUCAGUUUUUGGUAAAAACUGUACCGGGUUUGUCAGAUGACAAUGCAAACACGUGUGCAGAAAGAUUAGAAGAGUUUGCACAAAAGUGAAAAAUGUUAUAUUUUGACACUAUAAAGCAUUAAAUUGUGUGAGGCGCACCGCAACAAAAAAGAGCUGCUAUGAAAGAGCUGGAGAUGAGAAAAGUGCUGUAACAUUUGUUUUGAUCUCCUUCAGGAAGAUCUACAUCAGCACUGCCUUCAUGUGUGCAGCACUCACAUCUGAAUUACUGCUUUGAAAUGACCAGUUGUCUUUCUCAGGCUUUCACUUAUUUUUGUGUUCUUCUUUUUCUUAUUUUGUUGUGUCAAAGACAGGAGAGAAUUCGACAGUCUGCCCACGGCAGUUUUCUCCUCUUUGCCUAACCACGAAGAUCAUCAAACGCACUUCUUCUGUUCUCCUGGCUGCCUCAAAUGACUAAUUCUGAUAAAGUAAAAAAUGCAGCGUAAACCAUGUGCCUUUUUAGAGCGUCGUCAUAUUUUCUUUCGAAAUGUGGAAAUUGAGAUUUUUCUGUUGUGGGAUGAAAGAUCUUGGAACGAGGGUUCGGGUUGUUUUGGUUUCGAAAAUCCCCUAAAACACUCAAAUCUGAACAUGGUUAAAUUAUCUCUAAAUUGUACAUUUCGUUGGCUAAUUUUAUAGAAAUAUCUAAACAUGCUUUAGUGAGGUAUAAUAGGUUUCUUCUAGAGAUCUAAAGAAAUACAGUUAUUUGCACUUGUUGUUUACAUUCUUUUUUUUCUCCCUUAAAUGAUAAAUUUAGAAUUAUUGUGCCAACUUUAAUUUGGAGACACAUUUGUCUUGUAGUUGUUUUUAUAUAAAUAAUCCUGAAGUCAUUUUGAAACUGAUGGUUUAGGUGAUAUUAUAGACACACAAGGGGAAAUUUGCCUCUUGAGCAUGUUCUCACCCACUCAGUUUCGUAGGAAAAUCUUUAACCUUUUCAGCAACAACGAAUGCCCAUCAAAAAGUCUGAGAGAGAGAGAGAGCGAGAGAGAGAGAGAGAGAGAGCGAUGUCUGUUUUUCAGGCCACGCGUGUUUUGAGACAGACAUCUUAAGGACAGCAUUUGUGAUAUUCAUUUCGGUUAUGACUCAGUUUUCUCUCAUUUGAAACUACAGAUUUUACGAAGAUUCACGGACUGAUUGAAUAUUUCUUUCAUGAAAAUUCAUUUCGAAGUGUCAAAUUGGGACGGCGCACAGCUGAAAUUUGUCGAAGACAUGUAUUUCAGAGAUUCCAAAGCUAAUUUCAGUGAAGUUGCUACAUGAGUAAUUUAUUUGAGAAUGUGUUAUACUGGUUUUAAAUUUGAGCACUUGAAAUGUUAGGUUUAAUAUUAUUUAUUUGAUUUGAUACAAUCCAUCUAAAUCAGUAUAGAUACAAUCACUUAAUAAUAUGUUUAUCUUUUAUCUUAUUUAAGAUGUGUAUUUCAGAGCAACUCUACAGAAUUAAUGGAGACCUCAUGCACAUGUUAAACUUUUUAUAUGUGACCCGUUAAAAUCAGAGAGAUUUCUAAUUCUGGUUAUGUUAAUAAACCUGCCUGAUUUCUAAACAACAUCAUUUAAAACACACAGUCUAAAUGCAUCAUGCAUUUUCUUUUAAAGCCCUAUUUAUAUUCAGGCUAGAGUAGGCCUCAUGUUUUUGACCUUUUUGUCACCUGAAGGUCACAUGAAUAUAUUCAGCAAUAUAUUGAGAUUGAGAUUUUCAGAAUAAAUUGAAUUGAUGAAUUUGUUGUUUUCUCAUGAACUGUCUCCUCACACACGCACACAGAUAUUAGCCUCUCACUUCCUGUUUAAACUUUUGUUUACCAUUUGAAGGUGCUAUUUUUAACCCUCUCAGCAGCGGCCGUUCAGACACUUUCUUAUGUGCUGUUUCUCUCCUUGUUGAUGUUUUUUGCAUUGAAUAAAACAAAUGUAAAUUCUCAUGCUCCCUUUGACAAAUACUCUUUGACCUCAAUUGAGAGAAAAACACACCGCCUCUGAAGUCUGUCAGCUCCCACACGACCUCUAAAAGUGACUGUAGACGGUCUGAAUAAUAAUUCCUGUAACUUUAUCAGAAGCACAAUGAGCUGAUAAAUAAUUUGAAAGAAAAUAGAUUGCGAUCUGCUCAGUGUUCCUUAAUGCAGCACGUCAGAGAGAAUAGUGUUUGGUGAAUUAACGGCGUGAAUGCGAUGAGAAACCGCGUGUUGUCUUUCUCACUGUCUGACUAACUCCUGUAGUGCUUUGUGGUGAGUUUUAUUCAGAUACUGCACGAAUUUGACUCUAAGAUUUAGUGUAAACUUGACUUUGUCUUCAUUGUGUUGUAACCUCUCCUUCUCUGUCUCAUCCAGAUGAUUAAGCGCAAAUUUGUGAUUGAUAUCUGGCAGGAACCUUUGUGCAUGAAGAAAUUUCUCGCCUACCAUCCACCUACGGGACCGGUGCUUUUUCACACAGCUCGUCUUUUUUUCCUCGGCUCACGCUGGAGAUGGUUACUAAUCACUGUUUCCUAAUUUGGAACUCAUUUAUCAACUGGCCUAGAGUAAUAGAUGUGAGAUAAAGCCGUCUGUGCUUGUGUCAGCAUGUGAUACACGCAUACAUGCGACACACAUCACGUUAUGAGAGCUCAGCAAAGACUUGUUUGCCUAUAUUCCCCUCGAGUGUCUGGUGUCUCGGCCAUAAAGCUGCAUAUUUGCUCUUACAUCAUCUAAAGCACAAAUAGCAUGGCAGUUAUUAAAGGUGAAGUGCAUCUUCAGAGCUAAAGGUUACGUAUUUGCGAUGACGACCAUUUUAGGAUGUUUUUGAAUUUUCACACCCUACGGUAUAUGUGUUAUGCAUUCUUACUGGCAUAUGCAAUUGUUUUAUAUGUUGAAAAAGGCUUUUCGUCUCCUAAGAUUAGAGAUAUACAAUGUACACUACAAUUCAAAAGAAAUUCAUACUUUUAUUCAUGCAUUAAAUGCGUUAAAUUGAUCAAAAGUGACAGUAAAGACAUUUAUAAUUGUACAUUUAAAAAAAAAUGCUGUGGUUUUGAGCUUUCUAUUCAUCACAGUAUCCUGAAACACAAAAGAUAUGAAGCAGCACAUUUGUUUUCACCAUUGACACUGAAGACUAGAGUAAUGAUGCUGAAAAUUCAGCUUUGAUCACAGGAAUAAAUGACAUUUUAAAGUGUAUUCAAAUAGAAAAUUUAAAUUUUAAAUUCUAAUAAUAUUUCAUAAUUUCUGAUCACAUUUUCGAUCGCAUUUUUGAACAACAUAAUGUAGUCAAUGUGAUACAAGGGGGUUUAAAAUUUGCAUUUAUAUUUUCAGUUCAUGCUUUCUCAUACAUUUAUUUUAUUUUUUUUAAAAGGUUGCCCUUUCAUGUCACAUCUGUUACAAUAUUGUAUUUUUCAGCAUUAAAGGAAGGACCAAUCCAUGACUGAAUAAGCCAUUGUCUCACAUAAUUAAAAACAACAAUAAAUCAAAAUGCAUGUGCUGAAAUUCUGACAAUUUUGCAUUCGCUUAUUUUUUUAAAUAAAAAUAUUUAUAUUAGGUCAUCUAAUGCACCGAAUGAAUGCUCAAAAGCACCAGUAAAUAUACAUGAUUAAUGAAAACUCCUAAACCCAUAAGAGUAGCGUUUUAAAAUGUCUCUCUUUACAGCAUUCGUCAGCGCAGGCCGAAACCGAGAGGCUUGUUUGCACUAGGAUCUUUAAAGAAUAACUACGAGGAGAAAUGGAGACAUUAAUCUCACUCAGGCAUCAAUUAAGAGGUAAAAGACUCACUCGCCAGUAACCUGCGGAGUUGUGUGAAUAUUUAAUAGACCGGGACGCCAUGUUGUUGAAGGGUGUGAGUGCUGGUGUCAGGAAUUUGUUUUUUAUGGGACAUAAGUGCAUUGUGCUCAUAUUGCAGUAAACCUCUUGCUGAUACGGUGGUAUAAACAAAAUCAGAUUCAAAAGUGAUGUGCGAUAUUCAAUCAAGCACAUGUUUAAUCAAUGUGUUGCUUUGACAUUUCCCAUUUCCUGUAAUUAUGUAAUUCUGAGUGGAAAUUGUUUCUACACCAAAUUUUUAUUUUGAUUAAAGUUUAUGUCUGUAAUAUGUUCUAUAGCAAACAGGGGUUUUGUGUGAUGGCUAACUAAAUUGUGUAUCAGCAUCCAAGAUGCAUCUGUUUUAUAACACUUCUGUGAUACUACUUUGAAUCGGCCCACAUGAAGUUGUGUAUAUUGUGUUUGGUCUGGCUGCAUGUGGACAUAGUCUUUGUGUGGGCCAGUGACUCACUGUGUGUGUGUAAGUAUCUAGGCACACUCGGCCACAGUGUCAGGUUUCCCAUCAGGCCCUGAGAGAGCUUUUCUGGUUGUUAUCUCUUUAGUCACGAGCAGCGCCAUCCCCUCCAGCGCUGACAGAGAGACGGGUGCGAGCCUUCCUCACGCCGCUCUCAUUCUACACUCUUACUUCACUAAUUGUUUUGUGAGCAAAGACUGAAUUAGCACAAGAUCAAGGUUAUUGCUCAGACCAUGCUCUUUCAGAACUCGAGACUUAAUAGAGAUUGCAGUGCAUGUUUAAAGGUCUUAAGUUUUUAUUUUUUUCUGAAUAUGAGUAGCAGCUUAGAUCAAUUGGUCUUGGGAGAAAUGUGAGCUCAUAUUGAGAUUUUGAUCACAAUAUUUGCUAUUGUUGCAAAACUGAGUACACUUUAAGAUGACUGGGGCCCUUUUUUCAGGACAAACAAAAGAAGCACACAAAAAUGUCUCCAUUUGUUCAACUAUUUAAUCUCACUGUGGUGUAGAAGAAAAUAUCGCAUUGUACUUUUUUAAUUUUGGAUAGACUCUUUUUCUCUUAAAUGUGAAUAUGUUUGUAUGUAUGUAUUGAUUUUUUUUAAAUCAAUUAAAUGUAUUUAUUUUUAUUAAUACAGUUUUAUUUAUUUUCAUUGUCUGUUUUAAUUAUUUUCAUUUCUUUUUAAAUUAUUUAUAUAAAUGUUUACAUUUAUAAGAAUUUAUAUUUAUUGUGAUAGUGUGUUUUACUUGAAUCAGAGUCUUUUCUGUGAAAUCUCUCAGCCUUGUGUCAUCGUGUAUCAUGUAUUCUUCAAGGAUGUGGGCUUUGAUACGUUUCUCAGCCAUUAACCAACAAAGUUCUUGAUCAAUGACUUUGUAGAGGGGGGACUAACACAAGAUCAUGUGGUUGAAGUUGAGAGGGAGACAGCCGCCAUGCACAAUGCAAAUUAAACACUGUGUGGGUUAAUAUGUAUUUGUUUUUGACAUCAUUUUCUAGCACAGGUUGUACCGCUGCUUUUCCGUUGAAUCGCGAUUGCCGCAAACUAUUUGUUUUUGCUGCCUUCAUUAUUGAAAAAAAGUGUGAUGUGAUUUUUGAAAAACUGUUUGAUGCAGAUGUGUUCAGACAGUGUUGUUUUUCUCUGUAGGAAAAACAAUUCCAGUCUGUAGUGUUUAAUAGCUGCAUGGUUUCGCUGUAAUAAAGAUCAAAAUGAGACUUUUUAGCAUUCAUGUUGUGAUCUUCCAAAAAAAAAAUAAAUAAAUAAAUAAAUAAAUAAAAGUGUACUUUAUAGUUUCAGAAUGGUACUUUUUUUCAGAGCUCUUAAUAGGAAACAUCUUACUAUAUGACAUAAAAUGUAAAUAUUGACUAUUUAAAGCAUGACUUUGAAAGAGCAAAUUCUUUCAAAAAGAUUUUUCUCAAGUCAUUUAACUUUUUUGUGCUGAGGUUAACUAGAUUAUCAUCUCAAAGCCCUAAUCAUUUUUUAUGAAAAUCCUAGUCAUAAAACAUGUCAGGUGGCAUUAAUUCUAUACAUGCUGACGUGACAUACUAUAUUAUAUUGCUGAAAACCGAACAUGUGCACAUGCAUGGUUUAAUUUGAAUGAUCACACUGGUCAAAUAUUGUAUGUUCUUUCCCAACUUCCAAAUGUUCAAAAACAUUGUACUUAUGUUCCCAUUAAGUUCUGAAAAUGUUACGUCUGAAUUUCUCUUGAACAUUCAAAAACUAAGUGAACAUUCCAUUUUAGAAUUUUGCAAACAUUAUAAGAAUGUUACUUUUGAACCUUUUGAAACAUUUAAAAAAAACCAUAAGAUGAAUGUCCAGCUAAAAUUUUUUUUUUUUUAAUGUUCCGUGAACAAUAGAAUUUUUCUAUGCUAAUGUUUUGAAAACACUAUUAAAUAUGAAACUCUCCGGAUGACAAAAAAUAUGUCCGAAGAACGUUUUUGCUAAGGUUUCAUUAAGUAAAAUUUUUACUUUACUUAUACUUAUAUGACCAUUAAAUGAGCAUGCAAACAUUAUGGGACUGUUAUUUUUAACAAGUAACAUUUCAAAAGCAUUAGAUCACCGUCCGACUAAAGCAUUUCGGAAAUAAGAUGUUCCGUGAAUCAUAUAGAUGUUGUUGUUUUGUUCUUUUAACACUGGAAGAGCGUUUGUUCAUAACUUUGAGAGAGCCUUGCGAGAACGUUAACCAAAGCUCAGAGAGCGUUUCUUGUUUUUGACCUUUAAAAGCAAACAAGAUCAACUCUAUUUCUAAAAGUCUAAUCCGUGGCGGUCAUUAUGUGUGUAAUGAAGUCCGCCCGCUCGCUCUGGGAACAAAGAGACUUCUCUCACUCAUGACUCUGUGGAUCGGGGAGGAGGGGGUGGAAAAGAAAACACAAAAAAAGCAGAAACGGGGGCUGUUGAGGGCACAGCCUCAGGCCCUGAAACCUCAGCCCUGCUAUUACUGCACGUCUGCAGAGAAACGCUCACAGACAGGUGCCGCAGCCCGCGGCUCUCCUCUCUCUCCUGACGUUUACUUCAGUCGUUGUGAUUCUGGAAGUUAACUGAAGUUUGUGUGCUUUUGUGCAGGUCACGGCGAGGAGAGACUGUCGUCCGGCAGAAUGGCGUCAGACGUGGGCCGCAGGACUUGAGGUCAGCCGUUCACUCAGCGCACAGUGUUUAUUCUGCCUUCAGGUCCUCCUGGGAAGUUCCUACUUAAGAUUUCGGAAGUCAUAAUUAUGAUGUGAAGUGAAUUUGCUUGAAAUAAUACGGAUGAGUUGAGCAUAUUUAUGUGUGUCUUUAACCCAGCUAAAAAGGGAACGUUCACAGAACUGUUAAUACAAUGUUCAUUAAGAGUUAUCUGGUCUUUUAUAAAUUUCCCAAAAUUUUAGCACAAAAUAUUAUUAUAAAUCUUUCAUGGAAUGUUUAUAAUUUCUGAAAAAUCAAAUGUUUUCUUUUUAAAUGUUUAUUGGUUUUGGAAUGUUCAGAGAAUGUUUUGAUCAUGUUUGCAAAAUUAUCAAAUUAUAAAACACAUUAAAAAGCACAUUUUGAAAGCGUUGGAUGUUUUGAAUGUUCACACAGUGUUAUAACUUAAUGGGAACAUUAUCAAAACAUUCUUUGAACUUUUUUGUUUGCUGGGAACUUGAAAAGCAUUUUUAGUUCUAGUGCAACAAAAUUAAGAGCAAAUGAUGCACAUUAGUUGUGAUUUAAGCUUUAUGUAUUUUAUUAACCUUGUGUAACAGGUCAUAACGAUUGAUUUUUUUUUCUUUUUUCUUUAUCACAAAAUGUUUACAAGUUUUAAGAUUUACAUUAAAUCAACCUU
ensembl:lncRNA